rnacentral:rRNA from 1 species
GAGUAACGCGUGGAUAACCUGCCUUGCACUGGGGGAUAACACUUAGAAAUAGGUGCUAAUACCGCAUAAGCGCACGGAGCCGCAUGGCUCAGUGUGAAAAACUCCGGUGGUGUAAGAUGGAUCCGCGUCUGAUUAGCUGGUUGGCGGGGUAGAAGCCCACCAAGGCGACGAUCAGUAGCCGGCCUGAGAGGGUGAACGGCCACAUUGGGACUGAGACACGGCCCAAACUCCUACGGGAGGCAGCAGUGGGGAAUAUUGCACAAUGGGGGAAACCCUGAUGCAGCAACGCCGCGUGAGUGAAGAAGUCAUUCGUGAUGUAAAGCUCUAUCAGCAGGGAAGAAAAUGACGGUACCUGAGUAAGAAGCCCCGGCUAACUACGUGCCAGCAGCCGCGGUAAUACGUAGGGGGCAAGCGUUAUCCGGAUUUACUGGGUGUAAAGGGAGCGUAGACGGCCAGACAAGUCUGAAGUGAAAAUCCAGCGCUUAACGUUGGAAGUGCUUUGGAAACUGCCGGGCUAGAGUGCAGGAGGGGCAGGCGGAAUUCCUAGUGUAGCGGUGAAAUGCGUAGAUAUUAGGAGGAACACCAGUGGCGAAGGCGGCCUGCUGGACUGCAACUGACGUUGAGGCUCGAAGGCGUGGGGAGCAAACAGGAUUAGAUACCCUGGUAGUCCACGCGGUAAACGAUGAUUACUAGGUGUCGGGGGGCUAGAG